AUACUUACCUGGCAGGGGAGACACCAUGAUCAUGAAGGUGGAUUUCCUAGGGCGAGGCUUAUCCAUUGCACUCCGGAUGUGCUGACCCCUGAGAUGUCCCCAAAUGUGGGAAACUCGACUGCAUAUUUUGUGGUACUGGGGGACUGACUCGAAUUCAACCUUGC
ensembl:snRNA U1 U1 spliceosomal RNA